rnacentral:rRNA from 1 species
AGCGAACGCUAGCGGCAGGCCUAACACAUGCAAGUCGAACGAACCCUUCGGGGUUAGUGGCGGACGGGUGAGUAACACGUGGGAACGUGCCUUUAGGUUCGGAAUAACUCAGGGAAACUUGUGCUAAUACCGAAUGUGCCCUUCGGGGGAAAGAUUUAUCGCCUUUAGAGCGGCCCGCGUCUGAUUAGCUAGUUGGUAAGGUAAUGGCUCACCAAGGCUACGAUCAGUAGCUGGUCUGAGAGGAUGACCAGCCACAUUGGGACUGAGACACGGCCCAAACUCCUACGGGAGGCAGCAGUGGGGAAUCUUGCGCAAUGGGCGAAAGCCUGACGCAGCCAUGCCGCGUGGAUGAUGAAGGUCUUAGGAUUGUAAAAUCCUUUCACCGGUGAAGAUAAUGACUGUAGCCGGAGAAGAAGCCCCGGCUAACUUCGUGCCAGCCGCCGCCGUAAUAC